AAAUUUUCGAAAUCUGGCCCCCUCGGGGUCCGAGUUGUAAUUUGGAGAGGAUGCUUCGGGUGCGGUCCCCGUCUAAGUGCCCUGGAACGGGCCGUCAUAGAGGGUGAGAAUCCCGUCUGGGAUGGGCGGCCGCGCCCGUGUGAAGCUCCUUCGACGAGUCGAGUUGUUUGGGAAUGCAGCUCUAAGCGGGUGGUAAAUUUCAUCUAAAGCUAAAUACUGGCCGGAGACCGAUAGCGCACAAGUAGAGUGAUCGAAAGAUGAAAAGCACUUUGAAAAGAGAGUUAAACAGCACGUGAAAUUGUUGAAAGGGAAGCGUUGGCCACCAGACGCGCCCAGGGGGGUUCAGCCGGCACGUGUGCCGGUGCACUCCCCCCUGGGGGGGCCAGCAUCGGUUUGGGCGGUCGCUGAAAGGCUCCGGGAAUGUAGCACCCUCCGGGGUGCCUUAUAGCCCGGGGUGUCAUGCGGCCCGCCUGGACCGAGGCCCGCGCUUCGGCGAGGAUGCUGGCGUAAUGGUGGUCAACGGCCCGUCUUGA
rnacentral:rRNA from 1 species